UAUAGGGGCUCUUGAAUGCAAAGAAGUAAACAAUGAUUAAGAUACAAAUGAUUUUGGCAGUGCACAUCCUGAUUCAAAUUGCCCAAAUGCUGCACACAGUGAAUUAUCGGUUAAAAAAAAAACUUUGGAAUUUCACCCGAUUCAAUUUAUUUGAUGAUUCAACUGAUUCAGAAUAAUUUAUUUAAAAGAAAUAUAUAAUUUUGUUUUA